UACGAAGGGGGCUAGCGUUGCUCGGAAUCACUGGGCGUAAAGCGCACGUAGGCGGAUCUUUAAGUCAGGGGUGAAAUCCUGGAGCUCAACUCCAGAACUGCCUUUGAUACUGAGAGUCUUGAGUCCGGGAGAGGUGAGUGGAACUGCGAGUGUAGAGGUGAAAUUCGUAGAUAUUCGCAAGAACACCAGUGGCGAAGGCGGCUCACUGGCCCGGUACUGACGCUGAGGUGCGAAAGCGUGGGAGCAAACAGGG
rnacentral:rRNA from 1 species